rnacentral:tRNA from 1 species
GGAUUGUGGCUCAAAGGUAGAGCACUCGCCUAGCAUGGCCAGGACCUGGGUUCGAUCCUCAGCACCA